UUGAGGUCUUUUUCCCCUUGGGAACUUCAGAUACCGAAGCGCUUACCACGUGCCUCGGGAAGAUUCUGCGCUCAGGUUAGGGGCCUAGGGAGCUGUUGAGCGGCAAGGCUGGUGACACUAAACUUGAGAAGCACAGAGCAGACAGAAGAAUCUCGAAAGACAGCGGUAGCACCUGCUGGCCUCCCUCGUUCCCUGCUGCCCUACAGGACGCUGACUUAUUUCUAACUUCCAAGGCACUGGGUGAACCCGGGCUGGCCCAUCACCACCCUGGGCACCGUGAGGAGACGAAGGAGCACUUGCCUCCGGGAGAGGAUAUGCUAUAGCCACGGGUGCACCAAGGCCCACCUACGACGCGCAAAGCAAAGCUCCGGGUUCGAGGCCCAGCAGACACACAGCCCAGUUUACGUCUGUCGAGGCCACUUGAGGGAUUCUUCCAGAGACUGCCAGACGUGCCCACUGCCUUGGGAUCGAGUCCGGGCUACACGGCGGCUCCAAACACCGUUGCCCAGAUCUUUUAACCCCAUCCACAGGCACAGUCAGGCUGGCACCCUGGCCCGGGAAUGCUGUUUCAACGUCGGCCACCUCACGGCCCCGACGGUGGUUUUCCUUUGUCGUGAUCCACUCGCAAAGGCUCCU